AAAGCCUCGGUAAAAGUACAUUACUUACACGUUUGUAAUUGAAAACAGCAGCGUGCUUCCGUGUCCCAUCCUCCGUUGAUACUCACUGCUU